UACGAAGGAGGCUAGCGUUGCUCGGAAUCACUGGGCGUAAAGCGCACGUAGGCGGAUUGCUAAGUCAGGGGUGAAAUCCUGGAGCUCAACUCCAGAACUGCCUUUGAUACUGGCGAUCUUGAGUCCGGGAGAGGUGAGUGGAACUGCGAGUGUAGAGGUGAAAUUCGUAGAUAUUCGCAAGAACACCAGUGGCGAAGGCGGCUCACUGGCCCGGUACUGACGCUGAGGUGCGAAAGCGUGGGGAGCAAACAGG
rnacentral:rRNA from 1 species